UUGAUUGAUGUUGGAGAUUAUAAUUGAAUUGUAUUAUAUAUUGAACAGGGAGAUAGUCUUAUAUACAAAGGAAACUCUGCCGAAUUUUUUCUUACUUUAAUAAUUGCUUUUGUUUGUUAAAUAUAAUUUGUAGGAAGGACAAUUAGGUCAUUGUCCAUCGUAUUAUGAACUGUUCAGGCAUACACAUACCAAACAACACGAUGGGCAAACAUUCAUAGCUGAAAAAGCCAAACAAAUUCAUGAACAAGUUGAAUCGCAACGGGAGAUGUUGGCAGAAAAUGGGGAGCAGGUGGAUGACAAUCAAUUAUACUAUGACGCGGUUGGUGGACACGAUAAGAAAAGAAGAGUUUAUGGACUUGGUUCAUAUGGUUGUUCUGUUGUUCAUGGUCCAACUAAUGAUAACACUUCUGGCAAUAUGACACCAACAUCGCGACCACCCGACAAUGCUACUUCUACUUCUGCAAAUGUACAACAAGAAAUUUAGAGUUUGAAGGAAACUAUUCUCCUUAUGCAACAACGACUUGAUGCUAUUGAUGGCGGGAGAGCGGGUACUUCAUCAUCACCUCCAUCUCAAAUCAAUUGAUUUUAAUGGUUGUUUGUUAGUGUUGUUUAGACUUGAAUUGACUAUUAUAUUAUGUAUUAAGUGUGGAUUGAUAAUGUAUUAUUAUGUUGUUUAGACUUGAAUUGACUAUUAUAUUA